rnacentral:ncRNA from 1 species
AAAGACUUAGUCCUAACCUUACCGUUAACUUUUGCUAGGUAUAUACAUGCAAGUAUCCGCGCCCCAGUGUAAAUGCCCUCAGCCCCUAUUUCCACGGACAAGAGGAGCUGGCAUCAGGCACGCCCAUUGCAGCCCAAGACGCCUUGCUCAGCCACACCCCCACGGGUACUCAGCAGUAAUUAACAUUAAGCAAUAAGUGAAAACUUGACUUAGCUAUAGCAACACCUAGGGUUGGUAAAUCUUGUGCCAGCCACCGCGGUCACACAAGAGACCCAAGUUAACCGUACACGGCGUAAAGAGUGGACCCACGAUAUCACAAUAGUUAAAGUCAAAAUGUAGCUGAGCUGUCAUAAGCCCAAGAUACACCUAAACCCACCCUAAAUAUGACCUUAAUCCAUACGACAAACUAAAUUCCACGAAAGCUAGGGCACAAACUGGGAUUAGAUACCCCACUAUGCCUAGCCUUAAAUCUUGAUGCUUACCCCACCAAAGCAUCCGCCUGAGGACUACGAGCACAAACGCUUAAAACUCUAAGGACUUGGCGGUGCCCCAAACCCACCUAGAGGAGCCUGUUCUGUAAUCGACAACCCACGAUACACCCGACCACUUCUUGCCAAUAACAGCCUACAUACCGCCGUCGUCAGCCCACCUUCCCUGAAAGUACAGCAGUGAGCACAAUCGCCCUAACCCCCGCUAAUAAGACAGGUCAAGGUAUAGCCCAUGAAGUGGAAGAAAUGGGCUACAUUUUCUAGCUUAGAAAACUUACGGAAGGGGAUAUGAAAUAGCCCCCGGAAGGCGGAUUUAGCAGUAAAGCGGAACAAUGAAGCCCCCUUUAAACUGGCUCUGAGGCACGUACAUACCGCCCGUCACCCUCCUCAUAAGCUUUAUCCUUCAAUAAAUAAUGAACUCACUUGCCAAAGAUGAGGUAAGUCGUAACAAGGUAAGUGUACCGGAAGGUGCACUUAGUACAC